rnacentral:rRNA from 1 species
UGGGGAAUUUUGGACAAUGGGCGAAAGCCUGAUCCAGCAAUGCCGCGUGUGUGAAGAAGGCCUUCGGGUUGUAAAGCACUUUUGUCCGGAAAGAAAUCCUUGGCUCUAAUACAGUCGGGGGAUGACGGUACCGGAAGAAUAAGCACCGGCUAACUACGUGCCAGCAGCCGCGGUAAUACGUAGGGUGCAAGCGUUAUCGGAAUUACUGGGCGUAAAGCGUGCGCAGGCGGUUUGCUAAGACCGAUGUGAAAUCCCCGGGCUCAACCUGGGAACUGCAUUGGUGACUGGCAGGCUAGAGUAUGGCAGAGGGGGGUAGAAUUCCACGUGUAGCAGUGAAAUGCGUAGAGAUGUGGAGGAAUACCGAUGGCGAAGGCAGCCCCCUGGGCCAAUACUGACGCUCAUGCACGAAAGCGUGGGGAGCAAACAGGAUUAGAUACCCUGGUAGUCCACGCCCUAAACGAUGUCAACUAGUUGUUGGGGAUUCAUUUCCUUAGUAACGUAGCUAACGCGUGAAGUUGACCGCCUGGGGAGUACGGUCGCAAGAUUAAAACUCAAAUGAAUUG